UGCAAGUCGAGGGGCAGCAUGUCCAGCAAUGGAUGAUGGCGACCGGCGGAAAGGGUGCGUAACGCGUGAGCAACAUGCCCUAUACAGGGAGAUACACCAGGGAAACUUGGUCUAAUAUCCCAUAGCAUUCAUUGAAGGCAUCUUUAAUGAAUUAAAGCUUCGGUGGUAUAGGAUUGGCUCGCGUGACAUUAGCCAGAUGGUGAGGUAACGGCUCACCAUAGCAAUGAUGUCUAGGGGUUUUGAGAGGAAGGCCCCCCCCACUGGGACUGAGACACGGCCCAGACUCCUACGGGAGGCAGCAGUGAGGAAUAUUGGACAAUGGAUGGAAAUCUGAUCCAGCCAUGCCGCGUGCAGGAAGACGGCCUUAUGGGUUGUAAACUGCUUUUAUACGGGAGCAAUAAGGGUUACGAGUAAUCCGAUGAGAGUACUGUAUGAAUAAGGAUCGGCUAACUCCGUGCCAGCAGCCGCGGUAAUACGGAGGAUCCGAGCGUUAUCCGGAAUUAUUGGGUUUAAAGGGUGCGUAGGCGGCCAUUUAAGUCAGCGGUGAAAUUUUGCAGCUUAACUGUAACAGUGCCGUUGAUACUGUUUGGCUAGGAUUUGGUUGUAGUGUGCGGAAUGUGUGGUGUAGCGGUGAAAUGCUUAGAUAUCACACAGAACACCGAUUGCGAAGGCAGCACACUAAGUCAUUAUUGACGCUGAGGCACGAAAGUGUGGGGAUCAAACAGGAUUAGAUACCCUGGUAGUCCACACUGUAAACGAUGAUAACUCGCUGUCGGCGAUACACAGUCGGGGCCAAGCGAAAGC
rnacentral:rRNA from 1 species